ensembl:lncRNA
GCUUGUUUGGCUAACAAAGGUGAAAAUUGAGAAUUUGUUUUGUUGAACACUCAAGUAAAGGCACCAGAACCAUUUCAAGCCAGUUUUGGAUGAAUCUGGUACUAAUCUUCUCUUCAAAUAAACUGACAAGGCAAUGACCAGCUGCUUAAAACAAUUGUAUUUAUUGCCACAAAGUUGCAUAUUGAGGGUUGCUUCCACAUCCUGGUGACCACAUGGUUCCUGGUAUAAAAGAAAAACACAGAUUCAGAAAACUGAAGUCUCCUCUUAAUUGCUCUUGGUCUGGAGACAUUUAUUAAAAGGAAAUGUAGCCAGCAUGUCAUGUGGGACUAACGGGCGUGUUCCCCUUCUGUGAGAACACCCGAGUCAAAGAUUUGGUCUUGGCCUUCGGUUGGUCGAGAUCAGAGGGAUAAAGGAACUUGACAAAAAAAAAAAAGGUUUGAGGGGUUCAUUGUAGUUAGAAAUCUCCUGCAGACUCUAAUUUUCUGUGAGGGCAGACGGUUGGGAGUUCUGAUGGAGUGGUCGUUGGAGCAGCAGCGGAUGCUGGAGCCUUAGCUGGCAUGGGUGGUGGGAAAUUUACUGGCGGCAUUUACUGGAAUGAAAGGGUUUCUGUAUCCUGGGUACAUGAGGUAAGAGUGCAUCAAUGCUUGCUGCUGCUGCUGCUGCAUCAACUGUUGCUGCUGCAUCAACUGUUGCUGCAUCAACUGUUGCUGCUGCUGCAUCAACUGUUGCUGCUGCUGUUGAUCUUGUGGGGGAAGCUUAGAGGCAGUGGAUGAAGUUGCUUCUGCAGUUUGGUAGGGAGCCUUUACUGGCAUGAAAGGGUUAGAGUAUCCUGGGUACACGAAGUCAGAGUGCAUCAACUGUUGGUGCUGAUCUUGUGGGGGAAGCUUAGAGGCAGUGGAUGAAGUUGCUUCUGUGGUAGUGGGAGCUUCAGUAGUUUGGUAGGGAGCCUUCACUGGCAUGAAAGGGUUAGAGUAUCCUGGGUACACAAAGUCAGAGUGCAUCAACUGUUGGUGCUGAUCUUGUGGGGGAAGCUUGGAGGCAGUGGAUGAAGUUGCUUCUGUGGUAGUGGGAGCUGCAGUAGUUUGAGGGGGAGCCUUUUCUGGCAUGAAAGGGUUUCUGUAUCCAGGGUACAUGAAGUAAGAGUGCAUCAAUUCUUGCUGCUGCUGCUGCUGCUUCAACUGUUGCUGCUGCUGCUGCUGCUGCUGCUGCUGCAUCAACUGUUGCUGCUGCUGCAUCAACUGUUGCUGCUGCUGUUGAUUUUGUGGGAGAAGCUUAGAGGCAGUGGAUGAAGUUGCUGCUGUAGUUGGAGCUUCAGUAGUUUGGUAGGGAGCCUUCACUGGCAUGAAAGGGUUAGAGUAUCCUGGGUACACGAAGUCAGAGUGCAUCAACUGUUGCUGCUGAUCUUUUGGGGGAAGCUUAGAGGAAGUGGAUGGAGUUGCUUCUGUAGUAGUUGGCGCUUCAGUAGUGGGAGCUGCAGCAGUUUGAGGGGGAGCCUUUACUGGAAUGAAAGGGUUUCUGUAUCCUGGGUACAUGAGGUAAGAGUGCAUCAAUUCUUGCUGCUGCUGCUGCUGCUUCAAAUGUUGCUGCUGCUGCUGCUGCUGCUGCUGCUGCUGCUGCUUCAACUGUUGCUGCUGCUGCAUCAACUGUUGCUGCUGCUGUUGAUUUUGUGGGGGAAGCUUAGAGGCAGUGGAUGAAGUUGCUGCUGUAGUUGGAGCUUCAGUAGUUUGGUAGGGAGCCUUCACUGGCAUGAAAGGGUUAGAGUAUCCUGGGUACACGAAGUCAGAGUGCAUCAACUGUUGCUGCUGAUCUUUUGGGGGAAGCUUAGAGGAAGUGGAUGGAGUUGCUCCUGUGGUAGUUGGCGCUUCAGUAGUGGGAGCUGCAGCAGUUUGAGGGGGAGCCUUUACUGGAAUGAAAGGGUUUCUGUAUCCUGGGUACAUGAGGUAAGAGUGCAUCAAUUCUUGCUGCUGCUGCUGCUGCUGCUUCAAAUGUUGCUGCUGCUGCUGCUGCUGCUGCUGCUGCUGCAUCAACUGUUGCUGCAUCAACUGUUGCUGCUGCUGUUGAUCUUGUGGGGGAAGCUUAGAGGCAGUGGAUGAAGUUGCUUCUGCAGUUUGGUAGGGAGCCUUUACUGGCAUGAAAGGGUUAGAGUAUCCUGGGUACACGAAGUCAGAGUGCAUCAACUGUUGGUGCUGAUCUUGUGGGGGAAGCUUAGAGGCAGUGGAUGAAGUUGCUUCUGUGGUAGUGGGAGCUUCAGUAGUUUGGUAGGGAGCCUUCACUGGCAUGAAAGGGUUAGAGUAUCCUGGGUACACAAAGUCAGAGUGCAUCAACUGUUGGUGCUGAUCUUGUGGGGGAAGCUUGGAGGCAGUGGAUGAAGUUGCUUCUGUGGUAGUGGGAGCUGCAGUAGUUUGAGGGGGAGCCUUUUCUGGCAUGAAAGGGUUUCUGUAUCCAGGGUACAUGAAGUAAGAGUGCAUCAAUUCUUGCUGCUGCUGCUGCUGCUUCAACAACUGUUGCUGCUGCUGCUGCUGCUGCUGCAUCAACUGUUGCUGCUGCUGCUGCAUCAACUGUUGCUGCUGCUGUUGAUUUUGUGAGAGAAGCUUAGAGGCAGUGGAUGAAGUUGCUUCUGUAGUAGUUGGAGCUUCAGUAGUUUGGUAGGGAGCCUUCACUGGUAUGAAAGGGUUAGAGUGUCCUGGGUACACGAAGUCAGAGUGCAUCAACUGUUGGUGCUGAUCUUGUGGGGGAAGCUUAGAGGCAGUGGAUGAAGUUGCUUCUGUGGUAGUUGGAGCUUCAGUAGUGGGAGCUGCAGUAGUUUGAGGGGGAGCCUUUACUGGCAUGAAAGGGUUUCUGUAUCCUGGGUACAUGAGGUAAGAGUGCAUCAAUUCUUGCUGCUGCUGCUGCUGCUUCAACUGUUGCUGCUGCUGCUGCAUCAACUGUUGCUGCUGCUGCUGCAUCAACUGUUGCAUCAACUGUUGCUGCUGCUGCUGAUCUUGUGGGGGAAGCUUAGAGGCAGUGGAUGAAGUUGCUUCUGUAGUAGUUGGAGCUUCGGUAGUGGGAGCUGCAGUAGUUUGAGUGGGAGCCUUUACUGGCAUGAAAGGGUUUUUGUAUCCUGGGUUUUGCAUCCUGGGUUGUAUCCCAGUAGAUGGAGCUGACGGAUGGAUAAGUGGUCGAUCCAUAGGAGAUUGAGAGGCUUGGGUUGACAUAGGGCAAGAAAGGGUUACUGGAUUGCCUUGCCAUAACAUCUGGAGCAAAUGGUUGCCACCCUGGAGGGAAAAUAAAUAAAUACCAUUAAAAAAAUAAGUCA